UUGAAAUGUUAGUAAUCUAAAAACAAGAUCCACACUGACUGACUGUUAACUCAGACUGAAUUCAUUGAUCCGUCGCUUCAUUCCCUCCUUCUUCCUCUAAGUCUUUCAUUUAAUUCUAAGAUAUUUUGUCUCUAUUGAAACAUUUCAAUCGUUCAAACUACUCGGUAACAUAUGAACCACAUCUUUGGAGUUGUAAAAACCUGUUAUAUAUUAGUCUGAAUAUUUUAUAUUUGAUAAAAUAAUAAUUUCACCUGAAAAGUUAACUAUCGAUCCGGAUGUUAUGUGCUUUACAAGAUCAAAUGUACAUAGCGUAUACAUAAUAGAAAAAAUCGCGAUGGCGUGUAAUAUACGAAAUCUGACGAUUCGCAAUGCCGAAAAGAACGAUGCUUAUGUUUCGAGCCGCGUUGCUUGUUCACGGGCACGCGACCAUGCCACUUCCUUUCGAUCGAUUCGAUCCGAUUAAUCAAGCCCCCAUUCGAUUCGCCUAAGGCUUUCAGCCGUGUAUGCUUCACAGACAACGAAUCUCUCGACUUACCAAGCGACUCGCGACUGACAAUAGUUUCUGCGAUCCCUCGAUGCAAUUGUUUUAAGUGCAAAACUGUCGUCACGUAGGACAGGACUUAUAAAUCGUUGAAAAAACAGAGUAUUUGGCAGAAAAAAAGAAAAGAAAGAAGAUGCGCUCGAACGAAUCGUUUCCCCUACUUGAAUCUGUAAGGCAGCUAAGUAAGACGAAUAGAAAAAUUAUUCACCGUUAAACUCCAUAACAAUUUGAGAUAACGAUUCUACUGGUAAAUUUCAUUGAUUCGCUGAAAAUGGAAACAAUCGGGUGAGCUCGCGGAAAGAAGAAAACGGAAGAAACGAGAAGGAAAGACGGAUAGAUCGAACGAAAGCGAUGCCUGAUUUGAAGCGCGCAUAACUUAAGGAUCGCGCAACUCGAGAAAAGAAGCGCGAGACAAACGAGAGAAAAGGAAAGCAUUUUAGGCAACACGUGUCGGAGUACAUAGACUUCUCGUGAAAGUAGAGCCAAUGGAGAAGAAACUAAUCGGGCGGGAAGCAAUGCUGCUUCGGUCAUCCGCGUAGAAGCAUACUUGCAGUUAUAAGGUUCUAAGUAAGAGUGAACAAAGAAAUUGAAAUAAUGCGAGACGAAACGAUGGAAGAAAACCAUACCGAAAGGCCUAGGUUGUCGCACUCGUUUGAAAAACAUUCCUGCAAGAAUGCAUACAAGAAGUAGCGUACAAUCGCUGUACACUCGUUUGUUGACGCGAAUAUAAGGGGAGAAAAGUCGAUUUGAUUUGUAUAUGUACACGGUGAGCCCGAGGUUCGUGCAAGGACAGGUGCAUUUACGUAUGAAUGAGGAAGAGAUCUGGCGAAAUCGAUGCUCGUUUCUUUCUGGUUCAUAGUCAGCAGACGCGAAUAAAUCAAUGGCGGUAAUCACUUCAUUCUUGUAAACGCUAAUGUCCUCUGCGGCGAUCAUUGUUAUUAUACGAACGAACUCAAGACGGCAUGGUAUACAAGACUAAGAACAAGACCUAAAAUGGGGACAUAAUAUUUUAUAACUCAACUUUUGUACAGAAUAAAUAAAUACUUGUACUGUGGACCAAUA